AUUGAACGCUGGCGGCAUGCCUUACACAUGCAAGUCGAACGGUAACAGGUUAAGCUGACGAGUGGCGAACGGGUGAGUAAUAUAUCGGAACGUGCCCAGUCGUGGGGGAUAACGUAGCGAAAGCUACGCUAAUACCGCAUACGAUCUACGGAUGAAAGCGGGGGAUCGCAAGACCUCGCGCGAUUGGAGCGUCCGAUAUCAGAUUAGGUUGUUGGUGAGGUAAAAGCUCACCAAGCCUGCGAUCUGUAGCUGGUCUGAGGGGACGACCAGCCACACGGGAACUGAGACACGGUCCAGACUCCUACGGGAGGCAGCAGUGGGGAAUUUUGGACAAUGGACGCAAGUCUGAUCCAGCAAUGCCGCGUGCAGGACGAAGGCCUUCGGGUUGUAAACUGCUUUUGUACGGAACGAAACGGUGAGCUCUAAUACAGUUUGCUAAUGACGGUACCGUAAGAAUAAGCACCGGCUAACUACGUGCCAGCAGCCGCCGUAA
rnacentral:rRNA from 1 species